UCCUUAAGCAGGCUGAACCUUUUUCAGUUUGCAGACCCCCAAAAUAUAUCAGCAGUCUCCCACACAGCCCUAGAGGUGCACAGAUCACGGCUUUUAUCCUGAAGUUCUGUUGCUGUUACAGCUUCUCUUAAGGAGAGGCAUCCACAAAGAUCUCUGGUGUUACAAUGUGAUUUAUUUUGUGGAAGAUUUCCUUGCCAUGCUAGCGCAACUGUCUCAGCAAGGUUUUUAAAUGUAAGCCACAUCAUCUUGUAAGUGUUACUUUGCUAGAGGAAGCAGCCAGGUGAGCUGAUUUUCUCCAGAUACUUUGUAAGGCUGUUCAGCUGGCCAAGAGCACACCCAACGGCCACCUGGUAGUUGGCUGUUUGAUGGCAAGGUCUGCUGCAAGCUGGUGAGAAGAAAGUUGCUAGAGUUCAUUUGACCAGUACACUGUCACGUGAAGGCCUUCAAGAAAACUUUUGCAGCAGCAUUUUAAGACUAUGGUAAUCGGGCCUCCUGGCAGUAGGUGCAGUACAGAAACAAACAAGAAAAAAAUCAAGGCAGUGUACAAGCACCUUAAACCUACAACCUGCCUAGAUGAAGAAGCAACAGAUCAGAGAAGGCACCUGUAGCUUCAUAUCCAUGCCUGACAGAAACAGUACUUGACAAUUCUCAUGUGCUCUUCUACAGAAGAAGUGAAAAAGAGUCAUGACUUACCCCAGCUUUGGGUGAUUUGAACGAGAGAGGAUCUGACGAGCUUCAUUGGUGUAAUGCUUACUAAAAUACCUUGAUUAGCUAGAAAAGGAAGAAUGCUCCGUCACCUCACUACCUAGAAUGGAAAAGUUUCGUUCAAGAUGCACAGAUGUGAGGGCUUAAAGCGUUAACUACAAUGUCUAACUGCUACGGAACAAUCGGCAGGAGUUUGUUAGUUAAAAGUCUACCUGCAAACAUGCAUUACGUUUUUUCCCCCAAUUAAUUGAGAUGCUAUUGUAUAUACUCCAUAUAAUUUGCUUUAUCUGUAUCAUUUACCUGUAUUGCAUUUCUGGUUUCUACAAAGCCAGCAAAGGAGACUGCUGUGACAGGGGACAACUGACUCUCUCCAAGAACACAAAUUCAGUACCAUGACUUGUCUGACUCUGCUACAGAGCAGGUAGUCUUUCAGAGGAAAAAAAGUGAACAGAUGUUUGGAGUGAUACAGGGUUAUUCUUGAAAAACCCUGACUAAUCCUAGCAUGCAGAACCCAAAAUGUUGUUCUUUUCUUUCUGUCUCUUGUUCCUCGGCUUUUUCCUUCCCCCAAAAGGCACGUAUUCCUUUCAGGCACCUGUCUCUGAAAUACAUGUAGUUUGUAAUACAGCUGAAUCUUCAUCUAUUACCUUGUUCUUUGAUGAUCCCAGUGAAUGCUCUGCAAUAACAAUAAUUUAAAGAAAAUUAAAAACAAAUUCCGAUGGAAGUGUAUUUUUAAAUAAUUGACAAUAGGUGUUCUUGUAAGUAUCACAAAACGUUGAGUAACUUUUUGAUUACAUGUAUCGAAUACUUAAAUUAACCUUUAUCAAGCAACUGAAAGGCGUAAUUUACGUAGAUUUUCGAUCAUCCUUGAGUGCAACACCGAAAACAGGCUCAUUAUUCAAACCAGCGGUCAGCAGGAUUUACUAAAAAAGAAAAGGUGUCAAGACAGAAAUAUCUCUGCACAUUUUUCCAUUCUUCGAAACGCCUUCUUGUUUACGACUGAGGAAUAAGGAAGCAGAGCAGGUUUCAUUAUUUAUUUUUUUUUAGAAAAAGAGCUACUUUUGUGUGAGAAAAGCUGCGUUAGGGGGGUUUCGAGGUCCCAGCCGUGCAACCCCGCAGCCCCCAGCGUUAUCGUUACCGAUGCCGAGCGUCCUCCGCGCCCCCUCCUUCUGGCCGUGCAGGACGCGCUGCAGCUCGCACUUGCCGGUGAGCAGCCUCACGACCCACUUGAGCCAGAACCGCACGUAGCUGCUGUACAGGAGCCCCCACAGCUGCAACAACAUCUGCGUGGAGAAAGCUCCGCGUUAACCCCCCGCGGCCGCCCGCUGCCCGCCGCCCCCCUCCCCGCUCCCCGGCCA